rnacentral:rRNA from 1 species
UGGGGAAUAUUGCACAAUGGGCGAAAGCCUGAUGCAGCGACGCCGCGUGAGGGAUGACGGCCUUCGGGUUGUAAACCUCUUUCAGUAGGGACGAAGCGCAAGUGACGGUACCUGCAGAAGAAGCACCGGCUAACUACGUGCCAGCAGCCGCGGUAAUACGUAGGGUGCGAGCGUUGUCCGGAAUUACUGGGCGUAAAGAGCUCGUAGGUGGUUUGUCACGUCGUCUGUGAAAUCCUAGGGCUUAACCCUGGACGUGCAGGCGAUACGGGCUGACUUGAGUACUACAGGGGAGACUGGAAUUUCUGGUGUAGCGGUGGAAUGCACAGAUAUCAGGAAGAACACCGAUGGCGAAGGCAGGUCUCUGGGUAGUAACUGACGCUGAGGAGCGAAAGCAUGGGUAGCGAACAGG